GGGCCUCGACUCUGCCGAAGGGUAGACCUCCCACCCUUGUGUAUUAUUACUUUGUUGCUUUGGCGAGCUGCCUUCGGGCCUUGUAUGCUCGCCAGAGAAUACCAAAACUCUUUUUAUUAAUGUCGUCUGAGUACUAUAUAAUAGUUAAAACUUUCAACAACGGAUCUCUUGGUUCUGGCAUCGAUGAAGAACGCAGCGAAAUGCGAUAAGUAAUGUGAAUUGCAGAAUUCAGUGAAUCAUCGAAUCUUUGAACGCACAUUGCGCCCCUUGGUAUUCCGGGGGGCAUGCCUGUUCGAGCGUCAUUUCAACCCUCAAGCUUAGCUUGGUAUUGAGUCUAUGUCAGUAAUGGCAGGCUCUAAAAUCAGUGGCGGCGCCGCUGGGUCCUGAACGUAGUAAUAUCUCUCGUUACAGGUUCUCGGUGUGCUUCUGCCAAAACCCAAAUUUUUCUAUGGUUGACCUCGGAUCAGGUAGGGAUACCCGCUGAACUUAAGCAUAUCAAAACGGGGAAAGGAAAAAGA
rnacentral:rRNA from 1 species